AUUGAACGCUGGCGGCAGGCCUAACACAUGCAAGUCGAACGGUAACAGGAAGCAGCUUGCUGCUUUGCUGACGAGUGGCGGACGGGUGAGUAAUGUCUGGGAAACUGCCUGAUGGAGGGGGAUAACUACUGGAAACGGUAGCUAAUACCGCAUAACGUCGCAAGACCAAAGAGGGGGACCUUCGGGCCUCUUGCCAUCGGAUGUUCCCAGAUGGGAUUAGCUAGUAGGUGGGGUAACGGCUCACCUAGGCGACGAUCCCUAGCUGGUCUGAGAGGAUGACCAGCCACACUGGAACUGAGACACGGUCCAGACUCCUACGGGAGGCAGCAGUGGGGAAUAUUGCACAAUGGGCGCAAGCCUGAUGCAGCCAUGCCGCGUGUAUGAAGAAGGCCUUCGGGUUGUAAAGUACUUUCAGCGGGGAGGAAGGGAGUAAAGUUAAUACCUUUGCUCAUUGACGUUACCCGCAGAAGAAGCACCGGCUAACUACGUG
rnacentral:rRNA from 1 species